GAUGAACGCUGGCGGCGUGCCUAAUACAUGCAAGUCGAGCGAACGGACGAGAAGCUUGCUUCUCUGAUGUUAGCGGCGGACGGGUGAGUAACACGUGGAUAACCUACCUAUAAGACUGGGAUAACUUCGGGAAACCGUAGCUAAUACCGGAUAAUAUUUUGAACCGCAUGGUUCAAAAGUGAAAGACGGUCUUGCUGUCACUUAUAGAUGGAUCCGCGCUGCAUUAGCUAGUUGGUAAGGUAACGGCUUACCAAGGCAACGAUGCAUAGCCGACCUGAGAGGGUGAUCGGCCACACUGGAACUGAGACACGGUCCAGACUCCUACGGGAGGCAGCAGUAGGGAAUCUUCCGCAAUGGGCGAAAGCCUGACGGAGCAACGCCGCGUGAGUGAUGAAGGUCUUCGGAUCGUAAAACUCCGUUAUUAGGGAAGAACAUAUGUGUAAGUAACUGUGCACAUCUUGACGGUACCUAAUCAGAAAGCCACGGCUAACUACGU
rnacentral:rRNA from 1 species